rnacentral:rRNA from 1 species
ACACGAACCGUCCGAACGUUAUUCGGAAUCAUUGGGCUUAAAGGGUGCGUAGGCGGCGCGGUAAGUUGGGUGUGAAAUCCCUCGGCUCAACCGAGGAAUUGCGCCCAAUACUGCCGUGCUCGAGAGAGACAGAGGUAAGCGGAACUGAUGGUGGAGCGGUGAAAUGCGUUGAUAUCAUCAGGAACACCAGUGGCGAAAGCGGCUUACUGGGUCUCUUCUGACGCUGAGGCACGAAAGCUAGGGUAGCGAACGGGAUUAGAAACCCCAGUAGUCC